GCGCAGUCUGAUCCAGCCAUGCCGCGUGUGUGAAGAAGGCCUUAUGGUUGUAAAGCACUUUAAGCGAGGAGGAGGCUACUUUAGUUAAUACCUAGAGAUAGUGGACGUUACUCGCAGAAUAAGCACCGGCUAACUCUGUGCCAGCAGCCGCGGUAAUACAGAGGGUGCAAGCGUUAAUCGGAUUUACUGGGCGUAAAGCGCGCGUAGGCGGCUAAUUAAGUCAAAUGUGAAAUCCCCGAGCUUAACUUGGGAAUUGCAUUCGAUACUGGUUAGCUAGAGUGUGGGAGAGGAUGGUAGAAUUCCAGGUGUAGCGGUGAAAUGCGUAGAGAUCUGGAGGAAUACCGAUGGCGAAGGCAGCCAUCUGGCCUAACACUGACGCUGAGGUGCGAAAGCAUGGGGAGCAAACAGGAUUAGAAACCCUGGUUAGUCAAA
rnacentral:rRNA from 1 species